GAUGAACGCUGGCGGCGUGCCUAACACAUGCAAGUCGAGCGGCAGCGAGGGGUGCUUGCACCCUGUCGGCUAGCGGCGGACGGCUGAGUAACGCGUGGGAACCUUCCCUAAAGUGAGGAAUAACUGCCCGAAAGGGGAGCUAAUACCGCGUAAAUUCUUUGGAUCACACGAUUUAUCCGCUUUGGGAGCUGCUCGCGUCGCUUUAGGUAGUUUGUGAGGUAAUGUCUCACCAUGCUGAGGAUCCGUAGCUGGUCGGAGAGGAUGACCAGCCAAACUGAAACUGAGACACGGUACAGACUCCUCCGCGAGGGGGCAGAGAGGAAUCGACCAAAAUGGGCGAAAGGAUGAUGGAGCUACGACGCGAGCACGACGAAGUCAUGGGAGUUGAAAUGUGCUUUUAUAAGUGAGGAAUAUGACGGUAACUAAUCAAUAAGGCACGGCUAACUACGUG
rnacentral:rRNA from 1 species